UGUUCCCUCUCCGGGCCGCUGCUUCAGCCUCCACUUCGGGGAAGGUGCACCCGACUCCUACUUCCCUGGGGCGCCUGCGCCCUCGGGGGCGCCCUCCUCACCCCGAUGGCCGAGUUCGCGCCCCUCCCGGGACCGUGUGAGAGCGCAAACUUUUGAGCGGAUAAAAACCCAGAGGAGCCGGUCCGGAGCAGAACAUCCUUCCUCACCUCCAGCCAUCUGCAGGCCUGCCCCAGCCCCUGCGGGGGAGUUGCUGUUGCCCCCAGGCCGUUGCGCUCACAGGCCCUGACUGGCCAGGCCCACCGCCAUCCACAUCUGCCCAGAAGGGAGCAAAGAUGGGAGGUCGCUCACUCCAGGCCUUGGUGGAGCAGAUGCAGACAUCUGCCCUAAGCCGCUCCCGUGCCCCUACCUGGCCUGGCUGGCAAGGAGGAGCCCAGUUCACUUCUUGGGACCUGGAUGUCUGCGCAGAGCCUGCAGCUGCCGCUGCCUCCUGGAGCCCGACGCUGGAAGCAGCUUCUGCCUUCAGUUCUCCGUGUGCCGGGGCCUCUUCUCUGUUCAGUUGCUGUUGUGCUUUUGUCCCCUUGCCUGGGGGUGCGGUGGGGUGGGGAACCAGAAUGAAAUGUUUCUCUCAGUGCCCCUAGUCCUUCCCCACAGUCCCCCAAACCUCCAAGCAGCGGGUGGUAAGAACCUGCAGCUUCCAGCCCUGCUCAGGAGCAAAUUCAGAUUCUCUUCCGGGCACGGAGGCCGCGGAGGCUCCUUCUUCAGGUCUCCCUUGCUCAUUGACCCAUGUUAAGGGCAUUUGGGGGUCAAAAUUGAACCCAGAUCGCUUCCAUUGGUAUAAAAUUAGCAUUUUUUUAUCACACCAAAGACCCAGACUUCUCGCAUCAAGGAAUAGGUGGUCCUCACCCAGACCUGCACCUCUUCUCUGGGCUCUCAGACCAGUGACGGUGACGGUUUGGUGAGACGGAGGACUAGAAGGGGAACGAGCAGUCUGCUCCGUGGAGAAGUCAGUAGCUUCAGCUGCUCAUGCCACCGAUAUUUAUUUAGCACGUAGUAUGUGCAAAGCAUCGCCUCUGCCUCCGUUUGUCACGACUGUCAAAAAGAUUCUUGCCAGUGUGAGGCUUCAGUGAGUGUGGACAAAUACAUAAAUAAACCAAUCAC